rnacentral:rRNA from 1 species
GACGAACCGUGCGAACGUUGUUCGGAAUCACUGGGCUUAAAGGGCGCGUAGGCGGGUCACCAAGUCCGGGGUGAAAUCUUUCGGCUUAACCGGAAAACUGCCUUGGAUACUGGUGAUCUCGAGGGAGGUAGGGGUCUGUGGAACUGCUGGUGGAGCGGUGAAAUGCGUUGAUAUCAGCAGGAACGCCGGUGGCGAAAGCGACGGACUGGACCUCCACUGACGCUGAGGCGCGAAAGCUAGGGGAGCAAACGGG